GUGGCUCAGGACGAACGCUGGCGGCGUGCUUAACACAUGCAAGUCGAGCGGAAAGGCCCCUUCGGGGGUACUCGAGCGGCGAACGGGUGAGUAACACGUGAGCAACCUGCCCCUGACUCUGGGAUAAGCCCGGGAAACUGGGUCUAAUACCGGAUAUGACCACUCCAGGCAUCUGGUGGUGGUGGAAAGUUUUUCGGUUGGGGAUGGGCUCGCGGCCUAUCAGCUUGUUGGUGGGGUGAUGGCCUACCAAGGCGACGACGGGUAACCGGCCUGAGAGGGCGACCGGUCACACUGGGACUGAGACACGGCCCAGACUCCUACGGGAGGCAGCAGUGGGGAAUAUUGCGCAAUGGGCGGAAGCCUGACGCAGCGACGCCGCGUGGGGGAUGACGGCCUUCGGGUUGUAAACCCCUUUCAGCAGGGACGAAGCUAACGUGACGGUACCUGC
rnacentral:rRNA from 1 species